UGUGAGGUAUUAGCUAAGUUAGGCUAAUUGA
rnacentral:piRNA from 1 species